rnacentral:tRNA from 1 species
AAGUUAGUGUGGCAGAAUUUGAUGCGUUGAAUUUAGGUUUCAGGGAUGAAAUUUCCUCUUUUA